CCUACCGGAGGCAGCAGUGAGGAAUAUUGGACAAUGGAGGCAACUCUGAUCCAGCCAUGCCGCGUGCAGGAUGACGGCCCUAUGGGUUGUAAACUGCUUUUAUGUAAGAAGAAACACUCUCACGUGUGAAAGCUUGACGGUACUACAAGAAUAAGGACCGGCUAACUCCGUGCCAGCAGCCGCGGUAAU
rnacentral:rRNA from 1 species